rnacentral:rRNA from 1 species
UACGGAGGGAGCUAGCGUUGUUCGGAAUUACUGGGCGUAAAGCGCGCGUAGGCGGUUUUUUAAGUCAGAGGUGAAAGCCCGGGGCUCAACCCCGGAAUAGCCUUUGAAACUGGAAAACUUGAAUCAUGGAGAGGUCAGUGGAAUUCCGAGUGUAGAGGUGAAAUUCGUAGAUAUUAGGAAGAACACCAGUGGCGAAGGCGGCUCACUGGUCCGGUACUGACGCUGAGGUGCGAAAGCGUGGGGAGCAAACAGG